GGCUAGGGUGGCGGAUAGAUCCUAUCCGGGAUUUCAUGUUCACCGGAAGUGAUGUAAGGGCCGCAGUGCGCAUGACCACAGACUUAGCUCGAAACCAGAAACAUGGACAUUUCUGAUGGGUGAGCGCGGUGGAGGGAGAACACACGAAAAUUUUACUUUUGUCGGCUGCUUGGACGUUUUGUUGAAGUGACAGUAGCUUCUCUGCGUAAAGAACAAGCUCCCGGAUCCCCUGAUAAUAGGUACCAGUGACAACGCCUAUGCCACAUGGAAACCUACAUUUUAAACUGCCUGCAUUUCUAUUACCCAAUUUGUUGAUAUUCUUAGCUUGUCUUAAAAGUUUGGAUUUUUGAAGCUUCUAUAUAAAUAUUGUGAUCUUCUAAAACCCCAAUUUAUCUUGAAGAUGAUUGAACUUUUUUCCAACUUGUAUAACAGAUGAAAUGUAUAAAUAUUGCAGUGCACAUUGAGAUGUGGUCUGUGUUUGACAUUAAGCAUAUAUUUUGAGGUUGUGUUUGGCAUUGUAAAACUUCAUAUAGUUGUAAGAUGACAAUGCUUUGGAGACAAGACUUUGGACAUCAUGGUCAGAUGUUGAGAAGAUGAAAAGAAGGCCUCUUCUUCAAGGAACAUUGAGAUACUGUAUAGAUUAAACAUUUAAAGGGUAGCUAAUUGUUGGAGUCCAGUCCUCUUCCCCAACAGUUGCUUGUCAGGUGGAGGAAGCAGACCAAAAUGAAAAAGACCAGGCUAAGGAACUACUAAGUAUAGUACAUGUAUCUUGAAUAUUUGUCAUAUUUACACUUGUACAUUGCUAUAAUUUAAAGUAGACGUCUCUCUUUGGUUGACAACAAAUUUGAAAAAGUCAUGCAUACUCGUCUAGGGGACAUAUGUACAUUCUAAAGUGCUGACUUGAUGUAAAGAUUUUAUCAAGAGGUUGCAUACUGUAAAAGCCACUAGGUCUGGUUCAUGAUAUGGAAUAAUAAAUGUAAUUUUCAAUCAUUUUGGCUUGAGCAGUAGUAAAUUAACAUAUACAUGUGAACGAAAGGACUCACAUAAUGUGAAUCUUCACAUUUAUUCAUAGUGCCCCAGGCAGGCCCUCUUUCAGGUGUUUUGUGACAUGAAAAUUAUUUGCGGGAAUGUUAGUGUAAGUGCAACUGUACAUAUAGAUGCAUUUUUAAUGAGGACCAAUGCAUUUCUAAGAUCUCUGAUGCAUGCUGCAUGUCUGCCUGCCAGGCUAGUGUGGUAGCUCUAAAGAUCUUAGACACUUCAGAAAGUUCAGUAUUAUAAUGUACAAUGAUGUAGUGUUACAACAAUGGCUGUGACAUUUCAGAAUUACAAUAUUCAAUGAUGUAUUAAAUGUUACAACAAUGGCUGUGAA